rnacentral:rRNA from 1 species
ACGAAGGGGGCUAGCGUUGUUCGGAAUUACUGGGCGUAAAGCGCACGUAGGCGGACAUUUAAGUCAGGGGUGAAAUCCCGCAGCUCAACUGCGGAACUGCCUUUGAUACUGGGUGUCUAGAGUAUGGAAGAGGUAAGUGGAAUUGCGAGUGUAGAGGUGAAAUUCGUAGAUAUUCGCAGGAACACCAGUGGCGAAGGCGGCUUACUGGUCCAUUACUGACGCUGAGGUGCGAAAGCGUGGGGAGCAAACAGGA